UCGCAAUAGCCAGUAAAAAAAAAAUAAUAAUAAUAUGUGCCUGUUAUGCGGCUCCUUCGUAUUAUUUCAAUCAAUCAAUACAAGCUACAAACCAAUGUACGAUCAUCGCCAUAAAUGAGAUCACAAACGCCAGCGACCCACCAACUACUAACCCCCAACCGCCAACGAACUCCAAAGCGACCAACUGGCCAACGUUUAUCAGCUGCAAAACUGCUUACAAAAUACAAAUUUUUGCCAGAGUCAACGAUUAGCUGCGAAAUGCUUGAGACCAAAUACAUAAUUUAAUGCCAUUGCAGGCAAUUAAACCCGCUGACUAAAGCAACUUAUUCGAAGAAAUGUAAUUAAAGAGAUUUUGUGCGAAAUUCUAAGUAUUUAAUGCAUUAAGUUGCUAUGUGUCAGAGACCUUGUGGAACAAACGUUUUUUUCGCGCGACUCAACAGAAAAUAAUUUUUUAGUUGAGUUUCUGUUUUUUGUUAUCAUUUGUUAAAUUUGAUAUAUAUUUAGUAAAACAGCUGGUGGCCUAAACAACUUAACAAUGAAUAAAAAGCUCAGUUUUCUUAGGAUUUAAAUAAAUUUUCACUACUUUCUGUAAAUAUCACAAAAA